UACGUAGGGGGCGAGCGUUGUCCGGAUUUAUUGGGCGUAAAGAGUUCGUAGGUGGUUUGUUAAGUCUGAUGUUAAAGACUGGGGCUCAACCUCGGGAGUGCAUUGGAUACUGGCAGACUGGAGUGUAGUAGAGGCAAGCGGAAUUCCCAGUGUAGCGGUGAAAUGCGUAGAUAUUGGGAAGAACACCGGUGGCGUAAGCGGCUUGCUGGGCUAUAACUGACGCUGAGGAACGAAAGCUAGGGGAGCAAAUGGG
rnacentral:rRNA from 1 species